rnacentral:lncRNA from 1 species
CAAAAUAUUUAUUUUAUUUUUAUUGAAAGAGCCCUUUUAGAUUUAUUUAAACAUUGGCUUUUGUUAUUUAUUACUUUUGGUCACACUUUAAAAGGAAAAUGUAAGAGAAAUUAACUUUUUUCUUGCUUCUUCCCUGCCUCCCUCCUUUCCUUUUUCCCUUCCUCCCUUUUUCUUUUGUUUUCAUUGAUCAUAUAUCUCUGGAAUUUAAGUUCAAAGUUAGAAGGAAAUUUUUCACAAAUUCUUGUUUAACACCUUAUCACUUGUCCUCUGUAAAAUAUGAAUUGGUCAUAUCAACCUCUCAUUUCUUUCAGAUUCCUUUUAUCUCUUCCAGAUACCAGUUUCUCCUGCCUUCAGUUCAGCUGCUUGGUGUUGUGAUAGAUAAUCUUUUUAUAGAUAUCUAGGUAACAGAAUGUUAACAGCUUCAUUUACUUGUGUAUAUUUUUCUUUCUUAGGUCCUCUUAAACACUUGAUUGUUGCUUUGCCAGAAAAUAUGAAGUUCUGAUGAGGAAAUUGAGUCUCACAGAGAUAAAUAACUUGCCCAAGGUCAUAUAACUAGUGAAUUGUGGAACUGGGAUUUUAGCUCAAAUCUGCCUGAGGUAAGCACCCAAGCUCCUUACCGCUGUGCGACCUUCCUGUGGGGCUGGCAUGAAGGGGUCCAAGGCUGCCCCGAAAUCAGUGCGGCUCUCCAAAACCGCUUUGACUUGAUCUUUGUUCUAAAUUAUCUGCUUGCUGUCCAAGUACACUUCAUCGUAUGGUUUAGAAUAGAUGUUCACUUUACAUCUGUAGAAUGAAUAAGAGCUGUUUUAAUGUGUUUUGAGUAUGGAAUGUCCAAAAUAUGCCAAAAUUAUGCUAAAGGAAAACAUGACUUUUUGGGAGAAGACUUGUAAUGGGAAUUUACUUUCAUAUGGUAGCAUGCAAAGGUCCAGAUAGUUCCAAUACCCCCCAAGUCCAACAGUGUUAUCCAUUACUGCUAUAUUAAAAUGCACGAAAUAGCACUUAAAAGCCAUCACUUGAAAGUCAACAAAUAAUAGACUGCU